rnacentral:rRNA from 1 species
CCUACGGGAGGCAGCAGUGAGGAAUAUUGGUCAAUGGACGAGAGUCUGAACCAGCCAAGUAGCGUGAAGGAUGACUGCCCUAUGGGUUGUAAACUUCUUUUGUCAGGGAGCAAUUGGGUCCACGCGUGGGCUUAGCGAGAGUACCUGAAGAAAAAGCAUCGGCUAACUCCGUGCCAGCAGCCGCGGUAAUACGGAGGAUGCGAUCGUUAUCCGGAUUUAUUGGGUUUAAAGGGUGCGUAGGCGGAAUAUUAAGUCAGCGGUAAAAUGUCGGGGCUCAACCCCGUCGUGCCGUUGAAACUGAUGGUCUAGAGUGGGCGAGAAGUAUGCGGAAUGCGUGGUGUAGCGGUGAAAUGCAUAGAUAUCACGCAGAACUCCGAUUGCGAAGGCAGCAUAACGGCGCCCAACUGACGCUGAAGCACGAAAGCGUGGGUAUCGAACAGGAUUAGAUACCCGGGUAGUC